AUAAUAUAAAGGGGUCCCAUUAAAUAAAAUGCAACUUUGAUGUAUAACAGUUGCAAUUUCGCUGAAAAUGUUUUUAGGUUGUAGCCUCAAGGGUCCUUCAACAUGCCCCCACAAUGAAUUUUAAAUAUAUGCAUUAAUAAGCCCACAAUCUUCCACCCACACACUAAUGGCCCACCCUGUAUAGGUAGGCUUUAGAAUUCUAUAACAUAUACUUCGAUAUCACAUACCCUGUAGGUAUCAUAAUUUUAAAUUAAAGAGGAAACGUUAAUCCCCUAAGUUAGCCGUAUUGAAAAAAUAAAGUGCUAAUGUUGUUGCCUUGCGCAGCCCCGUAUAGAUUGUAAUUAUUCUAUGGACCACCUACUAAAUAUUCUAUAAGCGGAAAUCAUCGGACGUCCACUGUACGUACACUUUUGAUACAUGAACAUGGACCUAAAAUUGAUCAAAUAUGGACGUCUAGUGGAUAGAUUGUGUUGUGUGGGCUGGCUCGCAUUUUAGCCAGAGUCGACAAUCGUUAUUGUAAAACCAGAAACCAGAAAUGCAGGAAGACAUUUUGAAUAAUCGAAAAACCGAAGGAGAACUUGUAAGCUUCUAGAAAAAUCUGGGCCCGCAAGUGACGUCACUACAGACGGCGAAAGAUAUCCAUGAUCGAGCAAUCCUAUCUUUUCCAAUCAGUCUAGGUGACAUUCAUUUCUGUAUUGCUGAACUGGUGGUCGUGCUGUUCCAAUAGCCGUUACAGUUCAUGGGUUCCGACGCCGACUCUCACGGUGUUGUCGAAGAAGACUGUACCGUUAUGCCCUAGUAUGGAUAGGACGGCUGGGUGAAAUCGAGCUAUGAAUAAAUUCCGCACUCAAAGCGCAGAAAUUGACACCAUGGGGUGCUCUCAUCUUCGGAGCGAUGAUUCAAUCCUUGCACUCCCGACGUAGAACUCUCGGUUUGCCGCAGCCAUAGCAUCGCAAGACAGUGUUCGCUCCUUCUUCUUUCGACAUACGCUGACAUCGGGCCCUCGGAAAUUGCAGAAGGAACAUGGAUUCCGUUUUGGUUCAGCUGCAGUCUGUGUCCACCAUGGUCAAUUCGGCGAUUGGAGCCUCAUCGAGAAUGUGACAAAUAUCAGCCGAAACCUAAAGAAAGAUACAGUUCAAGUACAUAAAAAGCAAAUCGCGUACUUACGAAGAAGAAGCAAAAACACAAUUAUAUCCUCUCUAUAUAUGAGGAAAAGAUGAAUCCGUCCAUUACUGCCAAAUCCCCCAAUAAAUGAAUUCAAUUGCUAAAAUUAAUAGAAUAUGGAUGGCGGCAAUUAAAAUUCCAUGCGUUUUCACUAACGCCUCAGCGGUUUUUCAAAUGAAAUGCACUCUUUUACAGCUCACCAACGAAAGAGGAAGACGAAGGUCGCCAAUCGAUAACCAAAAAGCACGUCGCCGGAAUGGGCACAACCUUCGAGUUUAUUUUAGGACGAACUUCUUGCUGAAAAAAAAAACUAAAGUCGAAGUUUGGACGGGGGAUGUAAUCUUAGAAUUUGGCAUUUGACUCAGGGGGUUCCAUUUGUAGAUCAUGCAUUGCGUUUAUCGUUGAUCGUUCAAGGUGUCCUAUCGAAAAUUUGUUGCCGAGAUCUGAGGUCAUUUCGUGUAAUCGAUGCAUUCGUAACCUUUUUGCGCUUUUAUUAAUUAUUACAUUUUCAAGGGCGAUUUCUUGGAAACCAAUUGUCGGUUCUAAAAAAAUGAAAACCGGUGUGUAAGAAAUAUUUAUUUUUCAAAUUGUGAGCCGUUUGACUUCUCGUUCCAUUUAAGAAAGAGGUCCGUAAAUUCAUACGGAGACUAUUUUAAUUUUAUCGUAUUUGCCCAAUAUCUAAUCAAAAGUGGUUAAAGAUAAGUGCUUUUUUGUUUGCCGGUCAAAGUUGCAUUAGCAGUCGAAAAGUAAAGUCUGUCAGCUCCGCGAACAACGGUCGAUGAAGAUCAGCUCGAGAGGUUUCAGAAAUUAAGCGCCAAUUGGUGGAGCGAGCAUGGAGAGAUGAAAGCACUGCACACGGUAGCGCGGAAGAUGAUACCUCAAAUUGGAGGCGAUUAUGCCAAAGAUGGACAGAUAAAAACUGAAGCGAUGACAGAUGAUUUACCGCUUGCGGGGUUGAACGUUUUAGAAGUUGGAUGUGGAGGUGGAAUACUCAGCGAAAUGUUGGUCAAGUUGGGGUGUAACUUAACAGCGAUCGAUAUCGCGGCUGAUCUCAUUGAGGUAGCUAAAGAGCACGCAUCUGCCGAUCCUGUAACCUCAAAAAUAAAGUACGUCUUCGAACCAGUUGAGGAGCACGCGAAAUCGAAUUUCGAAAAAUACGACAUCGUCGUGUCCACUUUUGUUUUGGAACAUGUUAACGAUCACGAUUUCUUCAUACAAUCCUGUGUGCGGUGUCUGAAAAAGAACGGUUCGAUCUUUAUCAGUGCCAUUAGUAAAUCAUUGUUGAGCUGGUUAAUAAUAAUAUACUGGUUGAACACAUUUUGAGAGUGGUUCCUAAAGGAAUACACCCAUACGAGCUCCUGAUUACCGCUGAGGAUACUCAAAAAAUCCUAAACGCAUAUAACUGCCAAAUCAAGACCACGCGAGGAUUAUACCACGAUCGCAUCACCGGAAGAACUUACUGGAUCCCUACACUCAGAUUACUUUAUCUAACUCACGCUGUCAAAAACGUUUCAGAGGUCAUGUAGUAGAAUUAAAAAAUCAAUAAAAAUGGGAAAUUGACAGAUUGCUUAAGAUUGAACUCCACAUCACGAUUUUGAAUUAGAUAAGUCUGCACAGCAUUCGUAAUAUAUGAUGGGGAUAGCGAAAGUGGCCUACUGAAAGUGAAAAAGCAGAGCAGAUCGGAGCAAGGUUGUUUCAUAAUACGUUCGUGAUUCUAAUAUGCACCAU